GUGAAAGGAGAGAAUAAGCUGCAAACUUAUUUUAAUAGUCUUUCUCA
rnacentral:tRNA from 1 species